rnacentral:misc_RNA from 1 species
AGCAGCCGCGGUAAUUCCAGCUCCAAUAGCGUAUAUUAAAGUUGCUGCAGUUAAAAAGCUCGUAGUUGAAUUUCGGGAUCAAUAUGUUGGUCGUGCCUCGGUACGUACUAGCUUAUUGGUUUCUCCCUUCUGACGAACCAUGAUGUCAUUUAUUUGGUGUUAUGGGAAAUCAGGACUGUUACUUUGAAAAAAUUAGAGUGUUUAAAGCAGGCUCACGCUUGAAUACAUUAGCAUGGAAUAAUGAAAUAGGACGUUUGAUUCUAUUUUGUUGGUUUCUAGGAUCGACGUAAUGAUUAAUAGGGAUAGUUGGGGGCAUUAGUAUUCAAUUGUCAGAGGUGAAAUUCUUGGAUUUAUUGAAGACUAACUACUGCGAAAGCAUUUGCCAAGGAUGUUUUCAUUAAUCAAGAACGAAAGUUAGGGGAUCGAAGACGAUCAGAUACCGUCGUAGUCUUAACCAUAAACUAUGCCGACUAGGGAUCGGAUGAUGUUAAUUUUUUCAAUGACUCAUUCGGCGCCUUAC